UCAAGUGUCUUAAGGGCAUUUGGUGGAUGCCUUGGCAUGCACAGGCGAUGAAGGACGUGAUACGCUGCGAUAAGCGUCGGGGAGGUGCGAAUACCCUUUGAUCCGACGAUUUCCGAAUGGGGCAACCCACCUUAGAUGACUAGAAAAUCUGUUUUGUUGGAGCAACGCUGGAUGGGUUUACACCCAUACAGACCGCUAGGUCGUCGGCCCAUGUGGGUCGCCCCCGCGGAGCGCCAGCAUUCCUCUGGAAUGCGUACGGCGCGUGAGCGAGAACAGCACAGCUUUCUAGUCAUCAUAAAUAAGGUAUCUAACCUUGAAUACAUAGGGGUUAGAAGCGAACCUGGGGAACUGAAACAUCUAAGUACCCAGAGGAAAGGACAUCAAACGAGACUCCGCUAGUAGUGGCGAGCGAACGCGGACCAGGCCAGUGGCUUUUGUGAAUAAAGUGGAACGAGUUGGAAAACUCGACCGAAGUGGGUGAUAGUCCCGUACACGUAGAAUAGCAGAAGUCCUUGAGUAGGGCGGGACACGUGAAAUCCUGUCUGAACAUGGGUCGACCACGAUCCAAGCCUAAGUACUCGUGCAUGACCGAUAGCGAACCAGUACCGUGAGGGAAAGGUGAAAAGCACCCCGACGAGGGGAGUGAAACAGUACCUGAAACCGGAUGCCUACAAACAGUUGGAGCCCAAGGUUUGUCCUGGGUGACAGCGUACCUUUUGUAUAAUGGGUCAGCGACUUAGUGUAUCGAGCAAGCUUAAGCCGGUAGGUGUAGGCGCAGCGAAAGCGAGUCUGAACAGGGCGUUCAGUUCGAUGCAUUAGACCCGAAACCAAGUGAUCUAGCCAUGAGCAGGUUGAAGGUACGGUAACACGUACUGGAGGACCGAACCCAUAUCUGUUGCAAUAGAUCGGGAUGACUUGUGGCUAGGGGUGAAAGGCCAAUCAAACUUGGAGAUAGCUGGUUCUCCGCGAAAUCUAUUUAGGUAGAGCGUCGACCGAAUACCCCCGGGGGUAGAGCACUGGAUGGGCUAUGGGGACUCACCGUCUUACUGAUCCUAACCAAACUCCGAAUACCGGGGAGUACUAGUCGGCAGACACACGGCGGGUGCUAACGUCCGUCGUGGAGAGGGCAACAACCCUGACCACCAUCUAAGGUCCCUAAGUUAUGGCUAAGUGGGAAAGGAUGUGAGGAUCCCAAAACAACCAGGAUGUUGGCUUAGAAGCAGCCAUCAUUUAAAGAAAGCGUAACAGCUCACUGGUCUAAAUAAGGGUCUUUGCGCCGAAAAUGUACCGGGGCUCAAGCCAUACACCGAAGCUGUGGAUGCACGUAUGUGCGUGGUAGCGGAGCGUUCCGUAAGCCUGUGAAGGGACAGUCGUGAGACAUCCUGGAGGUAUCGGAAGUGAGAAUGCUGACAUGAGUAACGAUAAAGGGAGUGAGAGACUCCCUCGCCGAAAGUCCAAGGGUUCCUGCUUAAAGUUAAUCUGAGCAGGGUUAGCCGGCCCCUAAGGCGAGGCCGAAAGGCGUAGUCGAUGGGAACCACGUUAAUAUUCGUGGGCCUGCAGGUAGUGACGGAUCGCGUGUGUUGUGAGGUCUUAUUGGAUUGAUCUUGCAGCGAAGCGGUUCCAGGAAAUAGCUCCUGCAUAUAGACCGUACCCUAAACCGACACUGGUGGACUGGUAGAGAAUACCAAGGCGCUUGAGAGAACUGCGUUGAAGGAACUCGGCAAAAUGCACGCGUAACUUCGGAAGAAGCGUGACCUCACUAUGGGCAACCAUAGGGGGGUGGCACAGACCAGGGGGUAGCGACUGUUUACCAAAAACACAGGGCUCUGCAAAGUCGCAAGACGACGUAUAGGGUCUGACGCCUGCCCGGUGCUGGAAGGUUAAGAGGAGAGGUGCAAGCCUUGAAUUGAAGCCCCAGUAAACGGCGGCCGUAACUAUAACGGUCCUAAGGUAGCGAAAUUCCUUGUCGGGUAAGUUCCGACCUGCACGAAUGGCGUAACGACUUCCCCGCUGUCUCCAACGCAGACUCAGUGAAAUUGAAUUCCCCGUGAAGAUGCGGGGUUCCUGCGGUUAGACGGAAAGACCCCGUGCACCUUUACUAUAGCUUUACACUGGCAUUCGUGACGACAUGUGUAGGAUAGGUGGUAGACUUUGAAGCAGGGGCG
rnacentral:rRNA from 1 species